AGAGUUUGAUCCUGGCUCAGGACGAACGCUGGCGGCGCGCCUAACACAUGCAAGUCGAACGGAGCUUAGAGAGCUUGCUUUUUAAGCUUAGUGGCGAACGGGUGAGUAACGCGUGAGUAACCUGCCCUAGAGUGGGGGACAACAGUUGGAAACGACUGCUAAUACCGCAUAAGCCCACGGUGCCGCAUGGCACUGCGGGAAAAGGAUUUAUUCGCUCUAGGAUGGACUCGCGUCCAAUUAGCUAGUUGGUGAGGUAACGGCCCACCAAGGCGACGAUUGGUAGCCGGACUGAGAGGUUGAACGGCCACAUUGGGACUGAGACACGGCCCAGACUCCUACGGGAGGCAGCAGUGGGGGAUAUUGCACAAUGGGGGAAACCCUGAUGCAGCGACGCCGCGUGGAGGAAGAAGGUUUUCGGAUUGUAAACUCCUGUCGUUAGGGACGAUAAUGACGGUACCUAACAAGAAAGCACCGGCUAACUACGUGCCAGCAGCCGCGGUAAAACGUAGGGUGCAAGCGUUGUCCGGAAUUACUGGGUGUAAAGGGAGCGCAGGCGGGAAGACAAGUUGGAAGUGAAAACCAUGGGCUCAACCCAUGAAUUGCUUUCAAAACUGUUUUUCUUGAGUAGUGCAGAGGUAGAUGGAAUUCCCGGUGUAGCGGUGGAAUGCGUAGAUAUCGGGAGGAACACCAGUGGCGAAGGCGGUCUACUGGGCACCAACUGACGCUGAGGCUCGAAAGCAUGGGUAGCAAACAGGAUUAGAUACCCUGGUAGUCCAUGCCGUAAACGAUGAUUACUAGGUGUUGGAGGAUUGACCCCUUCAGUGCCGCAGUUAACACAAUAAGUAAUCCACCUGGGGAGUACGACCGCAAGGUUGAAACUCAAAGGAAUUGACGGGGGCCCGCACAAGCAGUGGAGUAU
rnacentral:rRNA from 1 species